CGGACGGGUGAGUAACACGUGGAUAACCUACCUAUAAGACUGGGAUAACUUCGGGAAACCGGAGCUAAUACCGGAUAACAUGUUGAACCGCAUGGUUCAACAGUGAAAGACGGUCUUGCUGUCACUUAUAGAUGGAUCCGCGUCGCAUUAGCUAGUUGGUAAGGUAACGGCUUACCAAGGCAACGAUGCGUAGCCGACCUGAGAGGGUGAUCGGCCACACUGGAACUGAGACACGAUCCAG
rnacentral:rRNA from 1 species